AAUAUGAGAUGUCUUUGUUAAAGCUUUUUUAUAAUGUCUUUAUUGUUAUCAAUCAGUUAUUAAAAACUGUCUAUUGUAAACCCUAAAGUACAGAUAAAGCGCUCCCUCCCCUUUUUUUGACAAAAAUUGCGAUAUGUAAAGGGGAGUGUAUAAAAAGCACUGAAGAAAAUACAAAAUGUCGUUUUACGGAAACUACUAUAUUUGAUUGGGCGUAAUUAAAUAUGAAAAUUGUAAACAAAAUAAAGUAAAAAUGAUUAUAGCAAAAUGAAGUGAAUAUAAGUUUUAAUUAGUAAAUCUAAUUUACCUUCUACUGUAAUCCUUUAUUUUUAAUGAGAGUAUGAUUGCAGCACAUGCAAAUAGGUAAAAAAAAUAAAAACUCAGCAAGAAAAAAAAAAAAAAUAUGAACUUGAAACUAUUUUAAAAAAUAUAUAUAAUUUAUCUAUUCACAUACAUCAGAAUUCAAAAAUCUAUCGAAAGAAAGAUCAUCCAAAAUAAGGUUGAUGCAUUCAGUUCAUUAGUAAUAUUAUUGUCUAUAGAUCCGUCAAUAACUCCUUCUAAUUGGAAAUGAAAGAGCCCAUUUUCGCUUCCAUCUAAUGAGUUGAAAAUACUACAACAGUUAAAUUAGUUUCAGAUCAUCUCUUAGGCUUCAAAAGGCCAGCACAAAACCAAUUACAACUUGCCAAGUUGACCUUUUUAGAUUUCUGUCUUGUUUAUUCCUAAUGAAGAGCACCCAUUCUCUUCUUAAUGUACUUUUAAAGGGUGCCAUCCACUAAACAUCUAUUGGCUGCAGAAGGCUCUCGCACCCGCCCAGAAUUAAAACUACAUCUGUGCCCAGACUUUUUAAUUUUUCAGGGAGACUAGAGGUUCUAUGGAUUGAGGCCUGAUCCAAGAUAAUUAACCUCUUUAUUUCGACCCCAAAUCCUUAUCAACCAACUUUUCAUAAGGUUGGCGAUCAUCCAUCCCUUGACAAAGCAGGUUUUAUAUGCUUUGGAUGAAUUACAGAAGCCUGUAUUAAAUGGAGAAGGCAUUACCCUUAUAUCCAAGAAUUGUUUUGUUGCUCUCUUACUGCUUUGCUUUCAACAUGGCAUUUAUUUGAUUUUAUUGCUCAAAUUCUUGGAUUUUUACACCACCAAACGAUGCACCAUUGAUGUUCUAUAUGUACCAUCAUUCUGUGAGGUAUAUUCAUUAGGAGUCGCAAAUUUUAUGUUGAAAUACAUAUGAUAUCAAAAUUAGUCGAAUUAAUAGUAUAAUAAGGGAUGUGAAAUCAUCAAAACCAGUUUGAUUGCCUGAUGAAAAUUUAAAAUAUUUCUAGUAAUGGAUUUUCAAUUCCUCUGUUUUUUAUAAUAUGGGAUUUGAUUAAAUAAAGAUUGUAAACAUUUUGUCCUCUC